AAGACUUCAGGUUAAAGAUGAAUACAGAGAGUUGAGACCUUAAAAAGCUCCUGCUGUCAGUUCCAUGUUUGUUCUUCUUCUGGUUGGUUUCCUGCUUGAAGCUGCUGAUUCAUUUCACCUUCACUCAUCAGCUUGAUUCAGAUGAUUUUCAGCAUCUAAAGGUGAAGGUAGAACCACUCUGUGACCACAUGUGGAUCUGAAUUCACCUGGUGUUUCUCUGCUAUGGAUC